rnacentral:tRNA from 1 species
ACUUGGUUUGGGACCAAGGGGUCGCAGGUUCGAAUCCUGUUUUCCCGA